CUGUUAGGAAACGGACGGACAAACAGGUAUGGAUGAUGAUAUAGAUGCUGACCGAAUACACACACCAGAUGAGUAGGGGAUGGGACAGAACGAUGGAGCACCCACCAGAUGAGUUACGGAGACGACAACGAGGAAACACACACCUCCAACUGGAACACGGGGCUGACUGGACAAACUGGAGACAAAACAGAGAUUAGGUAA
ensembl:processed_transcript